AUGUCCCACGCGCGCACUCCAGGUCCUGUGCGCCGUCCGCACCCAGCUGACGACGAUGCGCUGUGUUCUAUCGGCA
rnacentral:sRNA from 2 species